rnacentral:tRNA from 6 species
GCUCGGGUGGCGGAAUGGUAGACGCGCUGGCUUUAGGAGCCAGUGUCCGUAAGGAUAUGGGAGUUCGACUCUCCCCUCGAGCA